UCCACCAAUCCUCUCCUGCGCCUCCUCCUCCAAUCCCCUGUUGUGCCCUCCCAUCUCCACCCCUCCCUCUCCCUUGCGCGCAUGGCGGCCGCUGGCUCCAUCCUCGUCACCAGCCCCUUUGCCUCCACCGCGUCCCUCUCUGGAACCGUCGUCGCGGGCGACAGGAGGCACGUCCGACCUUUAGCAGGGGCAGCCGGCGCGGGCAAGGGGUGGCGCGGCCGGCCUCCGCAGGGACGACACGGGAGGGCAGCGUGGGCGACCUCCAUAGGGGCCGGCGGGACAUGUCGGCGCGGGCGACCUUGCCAGGGGCUGGGCGAGAGAGCCCAGGCAGGGCGCCGCGUCAACCUCCAUCACUCCAGCGAGGAGGUCUAAUCUGGAGUAGGUUGCAUGCGAUCUGUUUAUUGUUAUGUCUACACCAUUUACACAGUUGGUUCCCAAGGGAUUGGAGUGGAGGACAAGAUGGAGUGCCUAUUGUUAUUUACGUGAGUAGGCUCUUGCAGAGGAACCGAAUAUACCUCCAUGGAACUGUCAGCAAGGAGCUCCUUACAAGCAAUCAAUUUGUUCAUCUCUCCAAGAAAAUCAAGAAGAACAUGCGGCUGCAGUAGCAAAGAUCAAAAAAAGAGAAACAGGGGAAAGAGCAGUCAUACAAGGAUAUGGCGCAAUGCUCUGAAUAUCAACAACGGACCUACUGUCGUGGAGAGGUGCUAACGAUAAGCAACAUCAAUUUUGGUCAUAUCCAUUGCAUACAAGUUGAUAAGCUGGGGGUGGAGCUGGCUGACCAGAUUCAGGUUCUUAUGUAUUUUUGUUUGGAAAAUGAGAUUACACUGAUCAAAGGGUAUCAAGGUGCUUCUAAAUUUCCUUAUUUUUUCAUGUUUGUAUUACACUGCGAUACUAAACUACUAUUUAUUUAUGUUGAUUGUAAGUGCUCACUACUCAUUUGUUGAUUUCUACCGUGAUGAGCUAAACCUACGGUCAUUUUAUCGGAAACUACUCCUUUCGGUGGCAGAUGGAUGCUUGCAUUGUAUCUGAAAGUGCAAUGGUGGGCAACCUUAUGAAUCAAGCAGUACGCCGGCGAUGUAAAUAUACUUUUACGAACGCGGGAGGGAGAAGGUGUAGGGGAAGCGGUGUGCUGCUGCGUGGUUUCGGAUGGCCGACACCUGAACCGGUGGUUGGCUGGUUGGGGUUCAUGCGGAACCACUGUGUUUGUGGUUUUCUGGAUGGAUUUACUCUUUUACUCUGAAUCAUGGAUGCUUUGGUUUGGAUGUUUGUGUAGUUACUAAUCUCUAUAUAUUUUCUGGCUUUGUAGUUCAGUGUACUGAUUUUCUCUUCCAUUUUGUCGGUUCUUUUGGUUGCAUGUAACCGAUUUAUGUGCUUAGUAGGUUUGUUCAUUCUGGAGCUUUUGUAAUUCACAAAAGAAAAAUCACAGUUAUAUAAAAUUUAUAUUGGUAA